rnacentral:rRNA from 1 species
GCUCAGAACGAACGCUGGCGGCGUGCCUACCACAUGCAAGUCGAGCGAGAAAAGGGGGGCAACUCCCUGAGUACAGCGGCGCACGGGUGAGUAACACGUAGGUAAUCUCCCCUCGAGCCCGGAAUAACCUACCGAAAGGUGGGCUAAUACCGGAUAUGACCACGGAAGUUUCGGCUUCUGCGGUGAAAGAUGGCCUCUAUUUAUAAGCUAUCACUCAAGGAUGAGCCUGCGUGCCAUUAGCUAGUUGGUGGGGUAAUGGCCCACCAAGGCUAUGAUGGCUAGCUGGUCUGAGAGGAUGGCCAGCCACACUGGGACUGAAACACGGCCCAGACUCCUACGGGAGGCAGCAGUGGGGGAUAUUGCGCAAUGGGCGAAAGCCUGACGCAGCGACGCCGCGUGGGUGAUGAAGGCCUUCGGGUCGUAAAGCCCUGUCGAGGGGGACGAAUCGGUUGCGACCUAACACGUCGUGAUCUUGACGGUACCCCUAAAGGAAGCACCGGCUAACUCCGUGCCAGCAGCCGCGGUAAUACGGAGGGUGCUAGCGUUGUUCGGAAUCACUGGGCGUAAAGCGCGUGUAGGCGGUCCGUUAAGUCUGAUGUGAAAGCCCGGGGCUCACCCCCGGAAGUGCAUUGGAAACUGACGAACUCGAGUCCCGGAGAGGAGGGUGGAAUUCCUGGUGUAGCGGUGAAAUGCGUAGAUAUCAGGAGGAACACCGGUGGCGAAGGCGGCCCUCUGGACGGUGACUGACGCUGAGACGCGAAAGCGUGGGGAGCAAACAGGAUUAGAUACCCUGGUAGUCCACGCCGUAAACGAUGAGCACUAGGUGUCGCGGGUAUUGACCCCUGCGGUGCCGACGCUAACGCAUUAAGUGCUCCGCCUGGGGGAUA